AGAUGGCUGGUGCCGAACGGGAAUCGGAACGACAGGUGCUGCAUGGCUGUCGUCAGCUCGUGUCGUGAGAUGUUCGGUUAAGUCCGCUAACGAGCGCAACCCUCGCUGUGUGCUACAAGUGUCACACGGAACUGCCGGUCAUAAACCGGAGGAAGGUGGGAUGACGUCAAGUCAGCAUGGCCUUUAUAUCCUGGGCUACACACACGCUACAAUGGGAAGGGACAAUAGGUUGCGAAGCCGCGAGGUGGAGCCAAUCCAGCAAAACUUCCCUCAGUUCAGAUUGCAGGCUGCAACUCGCCUGCAUGAAGUUGGAGUUGCUAGUAAACGCAGGUCAGCAAUACUGCGGUGAAUACGUUCCCGGGUCUU
rnacentral:rRNA from 1 species